UCUUGAUACAUCAUACGAACACCAAAAAUUGUUAAAAAAAUGUCAAUAUGUCAACAUAUAUACCAAAAUCAUGUUCAAUAAAAAUAACUACACAUAUAUAAGUUAUCUCAAAACCGUUUAAGGAGCCAUCAGCAGUAAAUAAGACCUAUGUGUGAGGAAGAACCGAUUUUGAGUUAAAAAAAACAUUUUCUUAUGGUUUCUCUUAAGACUUUCCUGAAAAAAAAAAUACAAAAAUUGAUUAGUUUAUGAAUGUGAUUUAGGCCUUUAUUUUUCAUUCUAUGUCAUCAAAACAAGGAUAAUGUAAUACGCAUUAUUUGAUGUUAACUGAGAUGACACAAACAUAGCCCAGGGGCAGGAACUAUAAAUAUUUAUUAGGUGUAGCACCAAAAAAAUUCUCGAACAAAAACAUGUAAAGGGCAUGUGGUUUUCAUUGUGCCUUUGGAGUCAGGAAGUCUACUCCCUGGCAGUCCUAAGUUUUUCAAUGAUCUGGAAAAAAUGACAUAAUAAUGCCCUUUUAUCAUACAAAUUUACAGGGUAUAUCUGAUUUUAUAAAGGAAAAAUAUAACAAACUUUUUUAUUUAAGAAUUUAUAAUUCCCACAAACUCAAAUUUAGAAACUUCACUUAAAACAUGGACUUCUUGAAGCAAACAUAUUUAAACAAGAUAUGCUAUUAAACAAAAACUAAAUAUCAAAACAUAAAACCUGCAAUAAAUUUUGGAGUCAGGAAAUCAAUUCCAUUCCCCGAUUAAUUUUUAAUCCUAUAACGUAUAACAAUAUUCAAUAAAACCUUGUAAAAUAAGUCCUACCUUUUUAACAAAUUCUAAAUUACAAAGGAAAACAAAACCAAAGAGCAUAAAACCUUUAUGAUCCAAAGUAGGAUAGAUAUGGAAAGGCAAAAAAAGCAAUAAAUUUCCAUAAGGAUUGAGUCAAUAGUCAACAGAUUAACAAAAAGAAAGAAAUGACUAAAAGGAGGAGAAGGCAUCUAUGAAGCUUCUCAACAAGCCAAUCAAAAUAAUAAACCAUCUCAUUUUGGGGUAACCUAAAAUUAGACAACAAUAUUAAUUAAAAGGAAACACACCUACAAUCAAUUAAUAGUCAACGGAUUAACCAAUUUGUUUUACCUUUUUAUGUUAAUCACCAGUAAUGGAACUGAAGAUGGAGAAACAACGAGAGUGAAGGCACUGAGGAUUGAGUAAUCAGUGGAUAAUUUAUUUCAUAUCUUCAUCUCUGUCCCAACUUUCUUCAAUUGUUAAUGCUUCGUACAUUAAAUCCUUAAACUGUACAAUCUAUGAAUGAAUAUUCAAAACCCACAUUGAAAUCCAAAUAGAUAAAUUAAGUGAUGUUAAGGUAUAGAACUAAAUAGUUCAAAAUUAGGGAUUUGAUACAUACGUUCUAUUAAGAAUUUAUUGCAUCGCAGGUGUGAAUGUUAGUAUUUCUAGGGUUCGUCGAUCUAUGAAAUUAAACCAACUGAACCUUAACCACUUUCGAAUACGGAUGCAAUUAUGAAUAAACAAGAACUUCCUGCUGAUAUCUCCUUCAAAUUUCUGAAAAUUAUACAAUAAAUCUUUGGGUUAGGGGUUUUCUGUUAGGUAUAUGGUAGAGAUAUAGAUAUAGAGGAUGAAAAUUUAACUAAAAGAAAGAUUCAAAACCUGUAAAUUAAGAAGCAGACGCGUUUCAGCAACAAGAGAAGCAGCAACCAAUAAGAACCAACACAUCCUCAACAUAACCCUGUUGGGUUUCUCCAAUCGUCAUGUAGAUCUAGAUGAGGGAUAGGGGUUGUAGAUCAGAAGGAUUCGGUGGUCGUGGUGGUCGCUAAUGGUUUCUAUUGUUGAAGGUUGUACGCGUGGAUGCUGCGUUUGGAUGUUAAACGGAUCAUCUAAGGACGACAUAUCUCUUCUUCAGUUUGUAGGAGGUUAUCAAUUAUGAGAAAGAGUAUAUGCGUUUGUAAGAGAAAGAGUGGUAGAUGAGUGUCGUCUUCUUUAGGGUUAGACAAAGAAAGGAGUGUGUCGGCAUCUUUAGGGUUACACAAAGGAAGGAGAGUGUCGUUAGUAAAAGGAAGUCAUAACUUUAUUUUCCUAAAAAUAAAAAUCUAUUUACCAGAUUAAAUGUAUGAAUGUAUUUAUUCUGAAGAAUGUUUAAAAUAUAUAUUGAAUUGAUUUUAUUUGGUUUUUAAAUACCGAUCCAACUUUUCCAUAACUCAUUUGUAUUUUCAAGAAGCGUUUUUUUUACUAUUUAUUUUAUUGUCUUCCAUAUGAUAAAAAAUAUAUAUAUGAUAAAACAUGUAAACAUUUAAAUUUUUAUUAUUUUCAAUAAGUUGAUGAUUUAUUUUGUUAAACAAAAUAUAAGAAAUUGUUGUGUGAAAUAUAACUUUAAUUGAAAAAUAUUUCAGUGAUGGAUAAUCAUAUUAUUGUUCAAAAAAUUUCGACAUUGCGAAGCGUUUACAUAUGGUGGAACAUAUUAGUUGUUCGGGUUUUAUAUGUAUGGGACGACGUUGAAAAUAACCGACUCCUGAUUUGGUUGAUUGAUCAUAACGUAAGUAUGAAUACAAUAAAAAAAAUAUGACAUUUUUUUUGGCUAAUGUUCAUUUUAUUAUUUACAUAAUUGUUAAUAUAUUACAUAUCCAGAGAGACAAAAUGAUCGUCAUCGUCCCACAAUGUUUGAGGCAAACAGUUUUGAACAUGAAUUUGGUUGGACGUGUAUUGUCCUUAAAUCAUUUCCAAGUUGAGCGGUUUUACGAAGAUCACCCCACGUAUCAAAGUUACAGAAUUUUUUUUGGUGAUUGGGCAAUACUAAUAAAAAUUAACACAAUAUUUACUCGAUUGGGAAACGAUGUCGCCAAUUCAUUUCCACAUUAUCUAUUAUGUUCUUCUAUCACAAGCCUUGCAAGAGAUUUUAGUCGUCAAAGAAUGAUGAUCGGUACAUUUAUAUAUUUAAUUAUAUAUACUUUGUUUUUAUCAAUUGCAUACAACAAAUUAAAAUUAUAGUAAUUUUAAUAUGCUUUAGAUGUUAUUGGGAAAAUCGUUUGGGGAAGACGAAUCACGCCAUUCUAUGCAUUUGAAUUAUUUCUCCAAAAUGAGAUGUAAGUAUAUUUAAAUAUAUUAACCAAUUUUCAUUGUUAUUAUGUGUUUUAACAAAAUUUUGUUAAAAUGAAUAGGGGACAUAUUAUCAAGUUGAUGUUCAAUCACAUACCGAUGAGCUUUAUGAUACCACUGUAUCUUGCAAUAUUCAAUCAAUCCAUAAUUUAUGUCUCUAGGGUCAAGUUGGUCCACUUAAAUUUGUGUAAGUUAACCGUGGGGACAUUAUAUAUAGUUUCAUUCUUUACAUGUUAUUUAUUUUAAUAUACCUUACUAACUAUAUAUUACAUGUCCAUACAGACAAUAUUUUGGUUUCUACUAUAUUAACUGAUGUCACGUUGGAUCCAAUGACACCGGAAGCUGAGCGAAUUAGGAUUAGAGAUAGAGAGAAUAAUUAAUUUUUCUAUAGUUAUUUGUUAGCGGAUUAUGAAGUAGUUAUUUGUUUGCGGAUUAUGUGGUAGUUAUGUGUUUGCUGAUUUUUAGAAGGUUGUUUGCUUGCUUACUUUUUAUAUUCAUUUUUUGCUGAAUUUGUGACAUGGAUUUUUAGUAUUUUAUAAUGAUUAAAAACUUUUAAGUUUAUAAAUUUUAGUUUCUUUGUCUGACUAUUUUGUUUAUGUUAUUUAGUUUUCUUAUUUCUGUUUAUUAGAUAUUUAUACAUUUGUAUAAUAAGUAAAACAAAUAAUCUACCAAAUAAAAUUUACAAUAUCAUUUAAAUAUAAAUCAAUCAAUAUGCAUUCUUUCAAUUAUUGAAAAAAACUAUUAAAACAUGAAAGAAAUAUUUACCGAAAAAAACUAAUGAAACUUGAAAUAAAUAUAUAUUAACAAAAAACACAAAUUGUUAAAACAUUACUUCAAGUAUUAAAAAAGAAGUAUAAUUUAAUGUAAGUAUCAAUCUCACAUAUAAAUAAUUAGUUCAACUCAAUCGAUAUUCAGUUAAUACGGUUAUAAGUAUUGUAUAUAAAAAUUAUUUUUUAUUACAAUGUGUUAUAAAAAAAUAAAAUUAUAUAUUAUUAAUUUCAUGUUUUUACAGUUGGCAUGGUGAUUGUAGAUAAGGAAAAUAGGCCUAAUGAGGCUAUCCAACUUGAUGUAAAUACACAAAAGGGUAUGUUUCAUAUGCGCAACAUGAUUAAUAUGUUAUCUUUAUGCAUAAUUCAUCCAAAAAAAUUAUUGUAGAAAAAAGAAAAUUAUAUAAUAAGACAUAUUAUGAACGACUAAAGGAGAAGAAGAAAAUGAGACAAACAGCUAAUGGAGAAGUAAGUAGUCAAAACAUGACACCUAUGACAAAUGUGUCUACAACACAGAGGACCCUGGCUGAUAUUACUAAUGUAACUCCUACAAGUGUAUUGGAUUUUGCUCAAAGGAAAUCGAUUAAGA
rnacentral:lncRNA from 1 species